rnacentral:rRNA from 1 species
AAGUCGUAACAAGGUCUCCGUAGGUGAACCUGCGGAGGGAUCAUUACCGAGCGAGGGUGCCCCGCGCCCGACCUCCAACCCUUUGCCGUACCGACCUCUGUUGCCUCGGGGGUGACCCGGACGCUUCGGCGCCGGGGCCCCCGGCGGACCACGUAACCCUGCAUCCAUGCGUCGGAGUACGAGAACAAAUCGAAUUAAAACUUUCAACAACGGAUCUCUUGGUUCUGGCAUCGAUGAAGAACGCAGCGAAAUGCGAUAAGUAAUGUGAAUUGCAGAAUUCAGUGAAUAAUCGAAUCUUUGAACGCACAUUGCGCCCCCUGGUAUUCCGGGGGGCAUGCCCGUUCGAGCGUCAUUACACCAAUCAAGCCUGGCUUGGUAUUGGGACCCGGGGGUGACCCGGACCUCAAAAACAUCGGCUGGAAAUCUCCCAACGCAGCGUCGUGCAACAACUCGCUGACGGGAGGGGGGCUUCCGCGCCGUAAAACUCCUUCAAGGUUGACCUCGGAUCGGGUAGGGAUACCCGCUGAACUUAAGCAUAUCAAUAAGCGGAGGAAAAGAAACCAACAGGGAUUGCCCCAGUAACGGCGAGUGAAGCGGCAACAGCUCAAAUUUGAAAUCUGGCGCAAGCCCGAGUUGUAAUUUGCAGAGGAUGUUUCGAGGCAGCGGCCGUUCUAAGUUUCUUGGAACAGAGCGUCACAGAGGGUGAGAAUCCCGUAUGUGAGCGGCCGAGCACCUCACACGUAACUCCUUCGACGAGUCGAGUUGUUUGGGAAUGCAGCUCUAAAUGGGAGGUAAAUUUCUUCUAAAGCUAAAUACCGGCCAGAGACCGAUAGCGCACAAGUAGAGUGAUCGAAAGAUGAAAAGCACUUUGGAAAGAGAGUUAAAAAGCACGUGAAAUUGUUGAAAGGGAAGCGCUUGCUGCCAGACUUGCGAACGGUGUUCCGCCGGUCUUCUGACCGGUCCACUCGCCGAUCGCAGGCCAACAUCGUCCGGGACCGUCGGAUAAAGGUUCGGGGAAUGUAGCUCCUCACGGGGAGUGUUAUAGCCCCGUACACAAUACGGCGCGCCCCGGGCGAGGUCCGCACUUCGGUUAGGAUGUUGGCGUAAUGGCAGCCAGCGGCC